rnacentral:rRNA from 1 species
AGAGUUUGAUCAUGGCUCAGGAUGAAUGCUGGCGGCGUGCCUAACACAUGCAAGUCGAGCGGCAGCGAGGGGUGCUUGCACCCUGUCGGCGAGCGGCGAACGGCUGAGUAACGCGUAGGAAUUUGCCCCAAAGUGAGGAAUAACUGCCCGAAAGGGUAGCUAAUGCCGCAUAUGGUCUUCGGAUUAAAGGAUUUAUCCGCUUUGGGAGAAGCCUGCGUUGGAUUAGGUUGUUGGUAGGGUAAUGGCCUACCAAGCCGACGAUCUAUAGCUGGUCUGAGAGGAUGAUCAGCCAGACUGGAACUGAGACACGGUCCAGACUCCUACGGGAGGCAGCAGUGAGGAAUCUUCCACAAUGGGCGAAAGCCUGAUGGAGCAACGCCGCGUGAAGGAUGAAGGCCUUCGGGUUGUAAACUUCUUUUAUGAGUGAAGAAUAUGACGGUAACUCAUGAAUAAGCACCGGCUAACUACGUGCCAGCAGCCGCGGUCAUACGUAGGGUGCAAGCAUUAUCCGGAGUGACUGGGCGUAAAGAGUUGCGUAGGCGGUUUAAUAAGUGAAUAGUGAAACCUGGUGGCUCAACCAUACAGACUAUUAUUCAAACUGUUAAACUCGAGAAUGGUAGAGGUAACUGGAAUUUCUUGUGUAGGAGUGAAAUCCGUAGAUAUAAGAAGGAACACCAAUGGCGUAGGCAGGUUACUGGGCCAUUUCUGACGCUAAGGCACGAAAGCGUGGGGAGCGAACCGGAUUAGAUACCCUGGUAGUCCAA